UGCCAGGUUUAAAACCUGUUGAAAGCUGCAGC
rnacentral:piRNA from 1 species